rnacentral:misc_RNA from 1 species
GAUGAAGAACGCAGCGAAAUGCGAUAAGUAGUGUGAAUUGCAGAAUUCAGUGAAUCAUCGAAUCUUUGAACGCACAUUGCGCCCCUUGGUAUUCCAUGGGGCAUGCCUGUUCGAGCGUCAUUUGUACCUUCAAGCUCUGCUUGGUGUUGGGUGUUUGUCUCGCCUUUGCGUGUAGACUCGCCUCAAAACAAUUGGCAGCCGGCGUAUUGAUUUCGGAGCGCAGUACAUCUCGCGCUUUGCACUCAUAACGACGACGUCCAAAAAGUACAUUUUUACACUCUUGACCUCGGAUCAGGUAGGGAUACCCGCUGAACUUAAGCAUAUCAAUAAGCGGAGGA